rnacentral:lncRNA from 1 species
GCUGGACCUAGAUGACCUCUAAGGUCAUAUCAACUUGAAUACUUUCCUAUGACUCCAAGAAAUGGUGACAGAACGCUAAAUUCAGUAAGUAAACCCACCUGUUAAAGAAGUAAUGCUGUGGAUUAGAGAAUAGGAUUAGAAAAUGAUAAAAAGAAGAGACAGGGGUUUGGAACUUUGGCCUGGAAAAUAAAAAUUAGUAGAAUGACCAUAAAGACUGGGAAAAGGGAAAGAAAAGAGCAGGCAAGGAGGAAAAUCAAGAUAAAAAAUAAUGCUAAGCUUGGGCAUCAAGAAGGUAAUUUUCAAAAAGUUUUAUUUAAUCUUUCAAGAAAUGUUUAUUGAGCUUUCCAAGUAUCAGGCCUUACUUUAGGUAUUUAAGUUGUAGUUGCUUUCAAAAACUCUCUUUCUUCAUAGAGCUUACAUUCUAGGCUGGGGAAUUCAGGCAAUAAAUAGGAUAAGCAAGUAAAAUGUAUGGUAUGUUGGAUAAUGAUAAGUGGUUAGCAGAGGAAUGAAGUGGGGUCGUGUGGGUAGAGCAUGUAACAUCAGGUGGACUGGGCCAGGAAGACUUUACCGAGUAAGGAUCUGAAGAAAGUGAAGUGAAUAAGCUAUGGUUAUUUUGCUUCCUAGUUCAUGGGGGAAAUGAAAGCACUCAGAAGAACAGUCCAGGCAGGGAGACUAGCAAGUUCAAAGCUUCAUAGAUGGGAGCAUGCCUGAUAUAUUCAAGGAAAGGCUAGGAAACCAGUAAAGCUACAAUGGGAUAAAUGAAGAGGAGGAGAGAAGGAGGGGAGAUGACAAAAAAGACUUUGGAAGAUGUUAAGCAGAGAGUGCCAUAUGACAUACUUGAAUAUGAUAAUUUUAUUGCUGUUUCAACAGAAUCUAAAAAAGAGCAAGGACAGAAAAAGGAAGAGCAGCAAGGAUGCUACUGCACCAACCCAGGAGACAUUUGGGGUUUGCAACCAUCAUCUCUGACAAGAUUGUGGAGAUUAAUUACACUGAGCCUCCUCCUCAAGAAGGUCUAAAAGAAUGGGACUUGAUCCUCUUGACACCAUUUGGAAGAUCAUGUUUAGAAGAACUACAAAAACUAUGCUGGGCUUGUACAUGUCUCAGGACAUAAAUAUGGUUUUCAUAAAGCCCAGAUUGUAUUCCAAAAUAGCCCAUAAGUCCAACAACAGGUGUUAUAUAUUGUACCCUUUUUAAGCACUUUACUUUGAAGAGGGAUACAAAUGAGAGCUUCUGAUGAGAUGACUAGGGAUCUACUGGGCCAGCAUGUCUUGAAGAUGGAGCUUGCUCAUGUGAAUGGCUCAGCAGAUGCAGUGAACUCACAUCCCACUGGAGGCCAUCGCAUGGAGGGGGGGUAGCUGUGCCAAUGUUCAUGUGAAGAGGACACUGGGAAUUGAAGGAGGGAUCGAACUCGGGAACUUGUGCUUGCGAGGCAGGCGGCGGAAUCGCUGAGCUAAAUCCCUGGCCCCAUGCAAGUAAUUUUUGCACAUAUCUCAGUUCUUCAGUUUCUUAGUGAGAAGGGCCCAUUUGAGUGAAG